GUGGUUAGCAUGUCUGUUUUACAUGCAGAAGCUAAGUAGGGUCAGGCCUGAUUAGUACUUAAAUGGGAGACCACCUAGGAAGAACAGGUUCUGUACGUA
rnacentral:rRNA from 1 species